GGAGCCUGAGAAACGGCUACCACUUCUACGGAAGGCAGCAGGCGCGAAAAUUAUCCAAUCCUGAUUCAGGGAGGUAGUGAAAGAAAUAAUGAACUAGGAUUUAUCCUGGGAUCACAAUGGGCUUGAUUUGCAAACUUUAUUAGCGAGGAACAAUUGGAGGGCAAGUCUGGUGCCAGCAGCCGCGGUAAUUCCAGCUCCAAUAGUGUAUAUUAAUGUUCCUGCAGUUAUUCGAUGCUCGUAGUUGGAUUUCUGGGGGCUGAUUCUGGACGGCGGCUAUGGCCGCCACCGGUUUCUUCCUUCAUCCACCUGUUAACGUUGUUCGAGAUUCAUUUCUCGGCUUCGGGCUCAGGUAUUUUACCCUUACUAUAUUCAUUUAUUUAUCUUCUUUUUGAGCAAAUUAUAGUGUUUCAGGCAGGCGUGCGCCGGAAUACUUUAGCAUGGAAUAAUCGAAUUGGACUGUGUUCCUUAUUUGUUGGUUUGAUGGGCACAGAAUGGUUAAUAGGGAUAGUAAUUUUCAGGGGAGGCAUUAGUAUUUAAUUUCCAGAGGUGAAAUUCUUUGAAAUAUUAAAGACUAACUUAUGCGAAAGCAUUUAUUUUGCCAAUAAUGUUUUCAUUAAUCAUUGAACGAAAGUUAGGGGAUCAAAGACGAUCAGAUACCGUCCUAGUCUUAACCAUAAACGUUGCCGACUAGGGAUCGGAGGGCGUGCACAUUCCGCCUUCGGCACCUUACGAGAAAUCAAAGUCUUUUGGGUUCUGGGGGUAGUAUGGUCGCAAGGCUGAAACUUAAAGGAAUUGACGGAAGGGCACCACCAGGAGUGGAGCUUGCGGCUCAAUUUGACUCAACACGGGAAAUCUUACCAGGUCCAGACAUAGCGAGGAUUGACAGAUUGAUAGCUCUUUCUUGAUUCUAUGGGUAUUUUUGGUGGUGCAUGGCCGUUCUUAGUUGGUGGAGUGAUUUGUCUGGUUAAUUCCGUUAAACGAACGAGACCUCAGCCUGCUAAAUAGUUACUUGUCUUUCUUUUACGAGACAUGUUAACUUCUUAGAGGGACGUUGUGUGCAACCACAAGGAAGUUGAGGCAAUAACAGGUCUGUGAUGCCCUUAGAUGUCCUGGGCCGCACGCGUGCUACACUGAUACGUACAACGAGGUAUAUGUAUUUAUACAUCGAUGCUGCUCCGAAAUAGACAAAGCUAAAUCUUCUAAAAUACGUAUCGUGCUGCGGAUAGAUCGUUGAAAUUAUGAAUCUUGAAGGUGGAAUUCCUAGUAAGCGCGGGUCAUCAACCCGCGUUGAUUACGUCCCUGCCCUUUGUACACACCGCCCGUCGCUCCUACCAAUUUCGAGUGGCUCGGUGAACCUCUUUGGACUGUCGAGCAAUCGCGAAAUUAGAGUGAACCUGGUCACUUAGAGGAAGGAGAAGUCGUAACAAGGUU
rnacentral:rRNA from 1 species